rnacentral:misc_RNA from 1 species
GAUGAAGAACGUAGUGAAAUGCGAUAAGUAAUGUGAAUUGCAGAAUUCAGUGAAUCAUCGAAUCUUUGAACGCAGAUUGCGCCCGCCAGCAUUCUGGCGGGCAUGCCUGUUCGAGCGUCAUUUCAACCCUCGAGCCCCCCCGGGGGCCUCGGUGUUGGGGGACGGCACACCAGCCGCCCCCGAAAUGCAGUGGCGACCCCGCCGCAGCCUCCCCUGCGUAGUAGCACACACCUCGCACCGGAGCGCGGAGGCGGUCACGCCGUAAAACGCCCAACUUUCUUAGAGUUGACCUCGGAUCAGGUAGGAAUACCCGCUGAACUUAAGCAUAUCAAUAAGCGGAGGA